GAUGAACGCUGGCGGCGUGCCUAAUACAUGCAAGUCGAGCGAACGGACGAGAAGCUUGCUUCUCUGAUGUUAGCGGCGGACGGGUGAGUAACACGUGGAUAACCUACCUAUAAGACUGGGAUAACUUCGGGAAACCGUAGCUAAUACCGGAUAAUAUUUUGAACCGCAUGGUUCAAAAGUGAAAGACGGUCUUGCUGUCACUUAUAGAUGGAUCCGCGCUGCAUUAGCUAGUUGGUAAGGUAACGGCUUACCAAGGCAACGAUGCAUAGCCGACCUGAGAGGGUGAUCGGCCACACUGGAACUUAGACACGGUCCAGACUCCUACGGGAGGCAGCAGUAGGGAAUCUUCCGCAAUGGGCGAAAGCCUGACGGAGCAACGCCGCGUGAGUGAUGAAGGUCUUCGGAUCGUAAAGCUCUGUUAUUAGGGAAGAACAUAUGUGUAAGUAACUGUGCACAUCUUGACGGUACCUAAUCAGAAAGCCACGGCUAACUACGUG
rnacentral:rRNA from 1 species